rnacentral:rRNA from 1 species
AUUGAACGCUGGCGGCAGGCUUAACACAUGCAAGUCGAGCGGGGGAAGGUAGCUUGCUACCGGACCUAGCGGCGGACGGGUGAGUAAUGCUUAGGAAUCUGCCUAUUAGUGGGGGACAACAUCUCGAAAGGGAUGCUAAUACCGCAUACGUCCUACGGGAGAAAGCAGGGAAUCUUCGGCCCUUGCGCUAAUAGAUGAGCCUAAGUCGGAUUAGCUAGUUGGUGGGGUAAAGGCCUACCAAGGCGACGAUCUGUAGCGGGUCUGAGAGGAUGAUCCGCCACACUGGGACUGAGACACGGCCCAGACUCCUACGGGAGGCAGCAGUGGGGAAUAUUGGACAAUGGGGGGAACCCUGAUCCAGCCAUGCCGCGUGUGUGAAGAAGGCCUUAUGGUUGUAAAGCACUUUAAGCGAGGAGGAGGCUACUUUAGUUAAUACCUAGAGAUAGUGGACGUUACUCGCAGAAUAAGCACCGGCUAACUCUGUGCCAGCCGCCGCUGUAACAC